GUCUGCCUGAGAUUAUCAGUAUCAUAGUCAUCUGAACAAAACAAAGAUUUAUUAAAAACACAGACAGAAUAUGAAAUCCAAGUGAAAGAAACAGUUUGCAUAACAAAUCUCAGGAUAUUUUCAUUUCUCAUAAACUGAGCAAGCAUCCCUAGCUACAUGCUUCUGCUACAUCUCCGUUGUUGAAAGUGGCAGUCACCAAUACAGUGCUGGAUCCUGAGUCAAGGAAGAAAAUUAUUUGUCUUACUUUUGAGAUUGUUUUGAUUAUUUUGCUUUACCACUGACAUCAGGAACCAUACAACGCCAGGAAGCUCCUCUGUGACAGUGUCAUGGUUAAAUCUCAGCUGGCAACUGAGUACCAGGCAGCUGCUUGCUCACUCACUCUGCCCCCAAAGGGAUGGGGAGGAGAAUUGGGAAAAAGAUGUCUGCUUCAGGAUGAUGAGAUGAAUUGCAUUUCAAAAGCUCCUGACUCUCUCUGUUGGGGAUAAAAGCAUCCCAGAAUGACUAGGUCAGAUGAAUUUGGUCCUUGUGUCUAUAGAAAUGGAAUUUCAGAAACAAGCAGCAGUAAAACGCAGAAUUGAAGUGAUUGAAAAGUAAAAUCCACUUACUUCAUUAAAUCCAAUACAACCAUCUGAAAAUACCAGAAUAUGUCAUGAGCCUCCCAUAAAGCUUUUCUUAUUAACAAAAAACCUAAAAGCUAAACAAACAACAAAAAAGUUUAUUUUAAUUGUUAUUACUGUAAUAAUUGUAAUUGGAAUUUACUUCAAGCACAAUGGGGGCUAUAAGCUUUCUCACACUGGAAGAGUUCAUAGCUUCAUAGACCGUGAUACCAAAUAUCAUCGAUUCAUUGUGGGAAAAAUAAAAACAUUACUUAGGAAGGGUAAGAGCAGUAUUAGUACAAAAGUUAGAAUACAGUAUUAUAUUUCAAUCUGAGCUAAAAAAUGAAAUAAAAAUAUGUAUCUGAUAUAAACAAAUGUUGAUGGUGCAAUGCAGGAAAAAAGAAAAGUAUAUUACAAAACUUACGUUCAGAGCAUACAGAAAAAUGGAACUGAAAGAGACAGCACUUAAUUUCUGAUCUCAUUCCUCUUAAUCUCUCGCACACAUUCUGAGCAGGAGAUUUAAAAUAUCUGCUUGAGAUUUGGAAGAGGUCUGGUACAUUGUGAUAGAGUGAGCUCCCUGAGUAGGGUUUCAAGAAAACAUUGAAUCCAAACUGGGAAGUUUUCCUGUUUACUGGCUUAUUGUAACCUUGAUUUUCCCAUGAUAUACAUAUGUACCGAUGAAAACGUAAAAUGCUAAUUCUGUUUUUUGUCUGCUCAGCAGACCCUGUCUAUCAUCCAGCUGCUGGACUGCAAGAAGGUACCCUGCUAAUUCAAGCUAGUCCAGAAUCUGAUGGUUCUGAUCCUUCCCGCUAAAAGACAAUUUUUGGUGAAAUACAGUCUACCACUUGACAUCAAGAAGCAGUAAAAAAAAAAAAAGUCCCUGUUGUAUUUGGAAGAUGUUUGAGCAUUUAGAUUAUAAUACCAAGGGGAAAAAAGACAUAUUAACAAUUUCCUGAGCAAAUGUCCUCCAAAGAGAACUGGUUGAAGGCUAAAAAUAGGCAUGUGCUCAGGUAUUUUUAUGACUUGUAUUUGCCAUAUGAGAGAAUUAAAAGUCAAUGGACUGUGGGUCCAUGCAAGACAGCAGAUAAAGGUAUUUCCCUUUUUUCCACAGGGAAGCAUGCCUUGGCAUUAUUCAGCUAUUUAGUGUGAGCGAAAGAAUGGGUGGCAAGCACACGCAUACAUUAAAGGGAUUCAAUUUUUUUAUCAGUCUGUGUAGUCAGCCCAGGAUACAUUGCUACUGGAGGAUGUUGCUGAGGAAGCCGGUUAGAUUUAGAAAAGGAUUAGGCAUUUGUAUGAAUAUGAGUAAUGUCUGCUGUUAGCUGAUGAGGUUAAAGGAAUUAGGAGGGAUAUCCUAAAUCCACCAGCCCCAGGCUGUCAACUAAUCACCAGCUGGACUUGGGAAGGAACCCUCUCGCAGCCUUUUUGGCACAGCACUGCACCUUUGGUGGGGCCAGUGCUGAAGCUUCAGAAGAAUCAUCAAUCUCACGCUGCUCUCUGAGGCAAGAUGCUUGUUCUGGUACAGGAACUCCUCCCGUUACACCUUGCAAUAUAUAUACCUGCUGGGAAGCGCUGCAUCCUCAUCGCUCCCAACUACAUCCCAUCUUACAGUUGUAUGAAGCUUCAUCUUUAACUGAGAAUUGCCAUACAUAAUACAUAUUUUAUCUAUUUUUUCUCUGAAAAUUUUAAAUAAUUAAUGGACCUUUGUAAUAUAGAGACCAGUUAUAAAUCAUCUCAGCUGCACCUACAGAUUGUUGAUGCCAGCAUUCUCAGAUGAAUUACAUCUCUCUGGGGCCAUCUAUUAUUCUAAGUACAAUUCUGAAGAGGAAUUAUGCAUGUAAUAUUCACAAGCAAACAAACAAGUAAUCUCCAUUGUGGAUUUGAUACUAAAGCUUUACAAUCCAAUAGGGUUGAUAUGUUAGUGACAGAGAGUACUAAUUUUCUGCACCAUCGUCAGACAUCCUUUCAUUCAGCUUAAGUACAGACAUAUUUUUCCCUUGGGGAGAACAUGUUGAUGGGAGCGCUAUCUGCUUUUACAAACCCAGCAGUGUAGGUGCUGUAACAUGGAAAUAAAACCCCGCUGCUGUGGUUUGCGAGGCCCAGAGACAGACUGGCACUGCACAUACCUAGAGCUCACUCUUCGUCAUCGUGUGUUGCAGAAAGGAUCCAGAUUCAGAGAUGUAUGUGUAUCACCAGUUUUAUGGUGUUUGAAUAGACACUCCGAUUACAGUCAUUGAAUUACAGUCACCUAUUUCCUUUUCAUUCUAUACUUCAGAAAUAUAAAUGUGUGCGAUAGUCUGUGCCAGGUUCUGGAUAGUUUCCUGCUAAUGGUCACAGCUGCUGAUGCAUGAGAGGAUACAGGCAUGCAGAGAACUAAGAUGAGUUUAUGAAAUGGACUAUAGAAGAAAAUACUUUUAUGACUCCUGAAAUGAUAGUUUGAGAUAUCCAAGUAUCACCUGAAUUUCUCAGAACUAGCCCUUUGGAUGACUUGGACUCAGUGUACCUUUACUUUGUGGUCAGAUGCCUGGUGAUGAGGGAGGGCUUGUGUCAUCGCAGACUGGCACCAAAGGCUACUGAAGAAGUGGCCUUUUCAGAAAAAGCCUGAAGUGACUUGUCCUCCUGCUCAGAGCUCCGAAGCGUAGUAUGAAGAGCUAAAACAAGAUAGAGGUAACUGAAGAGAAAGACCUUUGGGGAGGGAAUGAUUGAAGAAUCCUUACUUUCUGUGAUGAUCAGAGAAUCCUGACUUUCCGUGGCAUCCAGGGGAUGGGAGGUGGUGGAGCGGCUUCUGUUUAAGGCAUUGAAGCAGGUGAUGGAAAAGCAUGGGAAAGAAGACAGAUCCAGUUUUGAGAAUGAUCGGGGCUCAGGAGAAAGAGUAAUAAAACUGCCUCUGUGUGAGAACUGCUGUGUGAGACUGGUGUCCCGGUGCUCCUUCGGACCUGACUGUUUGAGGGGCUGCCUUGACAGGUCCUCUGAAACAGAAGGGGAAACAGAAGCAGUGUCAGAGGAUGGCGCUGGGGAAUACCCUGCCUAGAUGCGCUGGCCAUUAACCACGUCAUACGCAGCUCGUGCCCAGGAGACGUUCAUGUGAGUACAAAGGCUAAUGCCCCCGUACGCUGUGCUUUAACAGCUUGCCAUUUUAGCAGCUCUUGAGCACUGCUGUCUGGGCAGAGGUCAGACACUUCGUUCCCCAGUGAAUGAUGAAUGAUGUACCACAUAUCUAUAGGAUGAUGUACUUACGUUUAUCUAAAAGUUGGGAAACGUCCAAGGACCCUUAUUGCUAACAUGACUGAUGUACUGAUUGCUAAGUCCUUGGAUUUGUCAUCUUUAAAAAGGCUAUCUGGUCCUAAGUUCCUGUUGUCCUGAAAAGUCCCCUUGGUGUGCAUGACUUUGGUGGAGCGAUCCCCCAUGCACCCAGCACUGCCGAAUAAAGAUAACCUCCACUCACUCGAAUAUUGGUGACUGAUUCUUUAAAUCACCAGGAAGAGCUUUCGUAAAGGCUGGAAAAAAAACUUUAUGCCUUACGGACUGCUUCUGGAACCUCUCCAGGAAAGGGAUCUCCACUUUCCCUUUCCGCUGGGCUCUGAGGAGCAGAAGGCAGG